GCGCCGGCCGCUACCAAUUCCUCUUCGGCAGCAGCCCCACCACUCAUGCCACCUCCACCUCCUCCUUCCCCCUCCUGCCUGUUAUCUCUUCUUCCCCCUACCCUGUCUCCUUCGAUGCCGAUGUCGGCAUGUACGCCGCCGGCGCCGUCUGUCCCCGAGGUCGGCGACACCUCUUCUGUCUCCAUCUUUGAUGCAGAAGCCCCUCCGCCCGCCAUCUCCCCCUACCGCAUCUCAUCCGGCGCCGACACCGGCAAGUACGUCACCGUCAUCGUCCGCCCCCUGAUUCAGCAAUGGCUCUCAUGCAGCAGCGCCGGCGCCCACCAGCUUCACCUCCUUCCCAUGGAUGCGCUCCACGUCCAUCUAAUUCGAGUAUGAGCUGCUCCCCAGGACCUCUAUGCCGUUUGCAACUGGAGCACUACCCACGAGCUCCACUGUCCCGAAUAAGCAAAAGGAAGACCACUCCAACUCCAUUACAAAAUUUACAAAGAAAUGGUCUACAAAAAAGUUCUCAGUGUGCAGUCCAAGGUCUCUUUGUCAUCGACGCCUCUCCUUUGUUUGGUAGCUCCAAAUCUAAAUUUCAGGUCAGACCCCAAAUAUUUAUUUCCUUGUUGUGUGUGAUCGACAUCUUUUUCUGGCAGAAACCUGGUUGAUGUUAGAAAGUUACAAGAGGUCCAGUACAAUUUUUAUGUGCGUGUAUGUACAUUCUGUUUCUUUGCUUGGUACAAAAUAUAUUGCAAGGGAUGUUCUUUUUUGCUUCGUUUAAAUAUACUACAUACCCUCUACAGACUCAGCUUAUUUUCCUUUUUCUGAAUAUAACACAGACGAUUUGUAUGCA